GGCUCUGUGUGUAAGUAGCCUUCCGAGUCAUCUUCCCUUGACAAUGGCUGUGGAGCUUAGGAUCAGUGAGCCACUGAUAGAUAGGCAGCAAUGCAGCUGCUAGGUGCUUUCCAGCUUGUACGUUUGUGUGAUGCCUCGCUUCUGUGUAGCCAGGGGUCUGUGCCAGCCCAA
rnacentral:lncRNA from 1 species